rnacentral:lncRNA from 1 species
CUUUAAUUAUAUACCCAGAUUUUAGUUUGACCCGCCGUCUAUCAAGCGUUACUACGUUUAUUACGCAUUUACCAUUUGUUUAUCUAACAAAGGAGGUAGAAGAAACAACCAAAAAUGAUGAACAUCAUUGUGAUUGUGGGUAUUGUCUUCCUUCAUUUCGCUCAAGCGGAAGAGACCUGGGGUGAUGAGUGGGCCGAAAAUGAAUGGUCAACAGCGGCCACUCAUACAUCAGAUCCAAAUGGAUGGCAUAAUCAGAUGUAUGGUUCUGCCAGUUUUAGCACCAUCUUCUUUCCUUUGAUGUUGGCAUCUUUUGUCGUGGCUCGCCUUGUUGGUCGUUAAUUUAUAAGUAAAGUUAUUACAGGAUGAAGAGGCUCAAGCCUUAUCAGUGAAGACACAUGAAAACGUUCUAUGUUCUUUGAAGAAAUGACACUGUGUGUAUACUCGGAUUAUUGCGAUUAUCUAUAUGUGUUUUUGUAUAUAUGACAAUAUCUUCAAUGUAUCGUACGUCACCUUUAACAACAUAUCGGCUUUUAAUACAUUACACCUUAUUAUAACUAUAAAAGACUUGCAAGCAAUGGCUAGGUAUAAAACGGUUAAAUGAACGCAGUAUUAGCUGCGUGACGAAUAAUCAAACUGUUAUUCCAGCAAAUAUAUAUACUAACAACCUACACUUGCUGCCGGAAGUGUGUGUUCAUGUGCGUGUGCAUAUGUGCGUGUGAGGGUGUGUGUGUGGGGGUGGGGGUGGAGGGGGUGCUAAAGCGAUUGGAAGAGAAGGAGGUUGUCGCACUCGCAGCUAUAGCUCAAAACUCUGUACUGUAGAUAGACUUUCACGAACUUUUGAGACAGUUUCGUUGAAUUGUACUAGAGACUUUUGUAAAACAAAACAAACAAAGAGGAACACAAUUAUAAUUUGUAAUUUUGCAUUCUAGAGAACACAAAGUUUAAAUGAUCUUUUGAGACUAUUUAAAAAAAACCAACGAACACAUAUCCCCUGUCAAUAAUUACGUUAAACAUUUUGACUAUAACGUAGGAUUCACGUUCCAUUCUCCAAACGUUCCAUUUUAGAGGGGUAAACUUUUUUUUUAUCAGAACCAGAGUCUGAGAAUACAUGUGGAUUAAUAACAAAUCCUUGGGCUGUCCAUAAAUUUGUAAUACCCGGUAUAACAUAGAAUUUCCCCUAUCUAUAAUAAACAUAUAUGUAGAUCUUGUUCACAGGUGGUAGAAAUUCAGUUCAAGUUCUAUUUUAUGACGUUAUAUAGAUCUGUUACAUGAUUUGAAUAUUAUCACAGUUUUAACCGUCUUAAUAACAGGUUAAGUGCACAACUAGAUCUAGCAAUGUAUACUUUAAUCCCCAUUCGUCCGAAAAUUUAUAACAAAAUGACAGGGUACGAGAGGUAAAUAUAUAUAUAUAAAAAAAACCGGGAGAAUAUAGUGAGAUACUUUUAAUUAUUACAUCGGUUUCAAAAGGCAGAUAAAUGAAGUUUUAUACCACAGUCUGAUAUUUGCGUAUUAUAACCGGUAGAUGAACGAAAAAAUAAAAAGAGUUUGACAAUUAUGGGAAUAUGAGAAACUGUAUCCACUUUGUCCAUGGCCAUUAAUUAUUCGGUAGGUCUGUUAUUAUAAGUUUUGACUUCCUUAACAGGAACAAUGAUAUGUCCGAUACCGUGAGAAAAUAUACCUGCUUUAUAUACUUCAAAUAUAAAUUAUCGAACAAGAUAUAUUUGUUUUUAUCUUGUUUUAUUUUGUUCUAGAUUUCAGUCUAAAAUCAUUUAUGUAUCCACGGUUACAGUUCAUACAUUCUAGCCUGUCUUACAUA